rnacentral:tRNA from 1 species
CGGUGUAGCUCAGUUGGUAGAGCAGCGCAUUCGUAAUGCGAAGGUCGUAGGUUCGAAUCCUAUCUCCGGC